rnacentral:RNase_P_RNA from 1 species
UGGGCGCAUGAUCGCUCCGGCUCGGGCUGGAGAGGAAAGUCCGAACACCGCAGGGCACGGUGGUUCGUAACGCGAACGCUGGGUAACCAGGGGAAAGUGCCACAGAAAUGACACCGCCGAUGGAACCGCGGUUCACAGGCAAGGGUGAAAUGGCGAGGCAAGAGCUCACCGCCCGGCUGGCGACAGUCGGGGCAUGGUAAACCCCACCGGGUGCAAGACCAAAUAGGGAGGCGAUCGAGGGCGGCCCGUCCGAUGCCUCCGGGUAGGUUGCACGAGAUGCCGGGUGACCGGCAUUCCAGUUAAAUGAUCAUGGCCGGCCCCGCCGCAAGGCGCGGGCCGGGACAGAAUUCGGCUUACAGCCCACCCCU